GUCCACGCCCUAAACGAUGUCAACUGGUUGUUGGGAGGGUUUCUUCUCAGUAACGUAGCUAACGCGUGAAGUUGACCGCCUGGGGAGUACGGCCACAAGGUUGAAACUCAAAGGAAUUGACGGGGACCCGCACAAGCGGUGGAUGAUGUGGUUUAAUUCGAUGCAACGCGAAAACCUUACCUACCCUUGACAUGUCUGGAAUCCUGAAGAGAUUUGGGAGUGCUCGCAAGAGAGCCAGAACACAGGUGCUGCAUGGCCGUCGU
rnacentral:rRNA from 1 species